rnacentral:snRNA from 1 species
GACCGUGCGGUCCAGACAGAGUGAACUAUUCUUUGGCCUUUAACUAAAGAAUACCAGAGUCUUGGCCACCAACAUCGGCAUACGCCUAUUUUUAAAGGCUUCUAUUUCAUUGUGGGAU